UACGGCCCAGACUCCUACGGGAGGCAGCAGUGGGGAAUAUUGCACAAUGGGCGCAAGCCUGAUGCAGCGACGCCGCGUGGGGGAUGACGGCCUUCGGGUUGUAAACCUCUUUCAGUAGGGACGAAGCGCAAGUGACGGUACCUACAGAAGAAGCACCGGCCAACUACGUGCCAGCAGCCGCGGUAAUACGUAGGGUGCGAGCGUUGUCCGGAAUUACUGGGCGUAAAGAGCUUGUAGGUGGUUUGUCGCGUUGUUCGUGAAAUCUCACGGCUUAACUGUGAGCGUGCGGGCGAUAC
rnacentral:rRNA from 1 species